UGGGAUAGCGGAGGAGAAGAGCGGGUGGUUAGAGACGGCCCCGGUGAAAUGGCGGAUGUUCAGAGCCAGGAACAGGAGGCGGAUUGGAGUAGGAAUGAGCGCUUGGUGGCCGACGCGCAGGAAGAUCAAGAAGCCGCAGAGUCAUCUGGAAAAAGUGGCAAUGAAGAGAAUGGGGAAGUGUCUGAUGAAAAUCGAGACCCAAACACUGCACCCGUCAAAUCCAUUAAACACAAGAAAAAGAAGCACAAGCAUCGGAGUAAACACAAGAAGCACAAGCAUUCUUCAGAAGAUGACAAGGAGCGGAAACACAAACAUAAACACAAGCAUAAAAAGCAUAAAAGGAAAGAGAGUGAGGGCUUUGAGAAGGAUGAUGAUCACUUAAUAAAAAGACCUAAAUUUGAUGAUUAUGCUCUUCUGGAGGACUUGGAGAAACAGAGGGCAAUGAUAAAAGCUGAAUUGGACAGUGAGCUCAUGGAAGGAAAGGUUCAAUCUGGCAUGGGCUUAAUUUUGCAGGGUUAUGUGUCUGACUCUGAGGAAGAGGGGGAGAUUCAUGAAAAAGCUCAUAAUGGUGAAAGAGUUACAUCCAGCCGUGAUGUUUCUGAAAUAUUGCCUGUUCGAGACAACAAAGUGAAAAGGGAACCCAUAGAAUCUAAGCCUGCUUCAAAGAGGAAAAGUAAAAGCAGGUCAAAAGACAGGACUAAACAUACUAAAUCUGAGAAAAAGAAAAGUAGGGUGAGCUCAGAACACCGAAAGGAGAAAGAGAAGGCAAGAAGUAAAUCACAUGAACGGAAGCGUUCAAAGAGUCCCAUCAAAAGCAGUAAGACUGGAGAGAAAAGCAAGUCUCCAACGUUGACUAAAAGACGGUCCCAAGAAAAGAAAAGAAAAUCGACUCCCACAGAAGAUAGCUUCAAGUCAAAGGAUCGAAAAACUAUAAUUGAAAGCAAAACAAGGGAGCGAAAUAAAAAAUCUAAGUCUCCUGUGAUGAAAACAAGUAAGUCGGGAGAUAGAAGUCAGAGAUCCAAAUCCAAAGAACGUGAGAAAAGAUCGAGAAAAUCUGAAAUGGAAAAAGAUAAAAAAUCUGCAAAGUCACCCACUAGAGAUGCUCCUUCUGGAAAGGAGAAUCGAUCUCCUUUGAGGAGACCUGCACUUUCUCCUAAAAGGAGAAGCCUAACCCCAAAACAUCGAGAAAAGUCAUCUAAGCACAGUCGAUCACCAAUAAUUAAUGAUCGCCCACCUAAACCAAGUCAGUCUCCCUCACGGAAUAUGUCCCCACAUAGAAGAGCUAAAAGCAGAUCUGUAGAACGAAGGAGGAGAGAAAAUGAACGAGCAAGAGCUUUAUCUCCAAGAACACGGUCUCGAGAUGAUCCAAUGAACAGGCUAGAACGAUCCAGAGACGUCAGCACAUCUCGACGGUCUCCAGCAAGGCGAAGGGCCAGCAGGUCCCCCAUUCGAAGGCGAUCACGUUCACUCCUCAGGCGAAGUCGUUCUCCAAGGAGGAGAAGCCGAUCUAGGAGGAGGUCUUUGGAUAGAGACUGGAAUCGGAGAAGCAGAUCUCGUAGAAGGCGAUCCAGGUCACGAGGUCGGCGUAGACGUAGAAGCGGAAGUAGAGACAAAGAAGAUAAAUUUAAAGGAAGCCUUUCUGAAGGCAUGAAAGUUGAACAGGAAUCUUCUGAUGAAAAUCUGGAGGAUUUUGAUGUAGAAGAGGAAGAUGAAGAAGCUGUUAUUGAACAAAGGCGCAAAGAGAGACAGGCAAUUGUUCAGAAAUAUAGAAACCCAAAUGAAGACAGCAACAUGUCUGGAUUGUCUGAACCAAAUAGUCCUCAGAGUAGUACACGGAGCCGUUCUCCCUCUCCUGAUGAUAUUCUCGAGCGAGCUGCAGCUGAUGUCAAGGAGUACGAAAGGGAGAACAUUGACACUUUUGAGGCUUCUGUCAAUGCCAAACGAAACCUUAUGGCACUUGAGCAAAAAGAAGGAGCUGCUUUGAAGAAGCCAACUGUUCCAGAUAUGUUUACAGAAUCUGAUGACAUGUUUGCUGCCUAUUUUGAUAGUGCUCAUCUGAGAGCUGCUGGAUUUGGAAAAGAUUUCAAAGAAAAUCCCAAUCUCAGGGAUAACUGGACUGAUGCAGAAGGCUAUUAUAGAGUAAAUAUUGGGGAAGUUCUGGAUAAGCGUUACAGUGUAUAUGGUUACACUGGUCAAGGAGUUUUCAGUAAUGUUGUACGUGCCAGAGACAUGGCAAGAGCUAGCCAGGAGGUGGCAGUCAAAAUCAUCAGGAACAACGAGCUCAUGCAGAAGACUGGUUUGAAAGAGCUGGAGUUCCUGAAGAAAUUGAAUGAUGCAGAUCCUGAUGACAAGUUCCACUGCCUGAGACUCUUCAGGCAUUUCUACCACAAGCAACAUCUCUGCUUAGUCUUUGAACCUCUCAGCAUGAAUUUGCGCGAGGUACUGAAAAAAUAUGGGAAAGAUGUUGGCCUUCAUAUAAAGGCUGUAAGGUCGUACAGUCAGCAGCUGUUCCUUGCUCUGAAGCUAUUAAAGAGAUGCAACAUCCUACAUGCUGACAUCAAACCUGACAAUAUUCUGGUAAAUGAAUCCAAAACAAUCCUAAAACUUUGUGACUUCGGUUCAGCUUCACAUGUGGCUGAUAAUGAUAUCACUCCAUACCUCGUCAGCAGAUUUUACCGUGCACCUGAAAUCAUUAUUGGGAAGAUUUAUGAUUAUGCCAUAGACUUGUGGUCUGUUGGUUGCACACUUUAUGAGCUGUACACAGGAAAAAUUCUAUUUCCGGGCAAAACUAACAAUCACAUGCUGAAACUCAUGAUGGACUUAAAGGGCAAAAUGCCAAAUAAGAUGAUCAGAAAGGGUGUCUUCAAGGAUCAGCACUUUGAUCAGAAUCUGAACUUCAUGUAUAUUGAAGUGGAUAAAGUGACAGAAAGGGAGAAAGUCACUGUUAUGAGCACUAUUAAUUCUACUAAGGACCUGUUAGCUGAUAUGAUUGGUUGUCAGCGUUUACCAGAAGAUCAGCGUAAAAAGGUUCACCAGCUGAAAGACUUGCUCGAGCAGAUUCUCAUGCUAGACCCAGCCAAACGUGUCAGCAUUAACCAGGCACUGCAGCAUCCAUUCAUUCAGGAGAAGAUUUAAUCGGAGCAUUUAACGGGUUUGAGCAAUUAAACAAAGACUGGAAAAGUCAGAGAAAGUAUUUAGUAUGUGUGAAACACGAUGUUUACCGUGAAAUAUGCAUGAAGUUAAAUUAAAAGAAAAAUGUUACUUCUCACAGGAAUAUGAGUCACUGUAAAUAUAUUGAUUUGUUUUUUCCAAAUGUUUUCUCCAUUCUUUCACUGUAGUUUAACUGCUAAGACUGCACACAAACCAUUUAUCAAAGUUAUUUUAAAACCUUGUAAACAGUGGUAUUUUGUGGAAGACUAUUGGCUCCAAAUCUGCAAGAUACACUUUUGUUUUUGUGCAGGCUUAGCCCAUCCUUGUCUCUGUGACAAUGGCCGAGGUAAAAUGAUGUUUAUAUUCACAUUUUCCUAGGUGUGUGUACGCAGGCCAGCAUGCCCUUGGUGUACUCAGUGCCGAAGGGGUCUGUCCCUACCUGUGCCUGCUCGCAGGGAUGGUCACAUCAUUUAAAGCAGGUUGUGUACCACUUUCAGUACACUGAAGGCAAACAUAACCUUCCACUCUUGAGCAAAGCAGCUGCUUUUUAAAGCGGUAAUUGCUUCUUUACCUUUCUUUUGUACAUUUGGAUUUUAGUUUUCUCUUAUUUAAGAUAAAUUCUGAUGAUUUUGAAUUAUAGUUCUGUACCAAGUCCCUUCACCAAUGUAAGUUACCAUUUGAUUUCACAAUGGGAAAGGAUCCUUAAACAAUUGCCCCCAACCACCACCAGCACCUCCCACUCCCCUCACCCCCAGCUUCCAUUUGCAAAGUAUCCUUUGGUUUACCAAACUGUUGCACCAAUGUUGCAAUCUCUUUAUAAAAUGUGCAUAUUUUUAAUAUCCUCUUGUUGAAAUAAUCAACAAAGAAAACCAUCAAAGACUAGCUGAUCAGAACUUAGCAUUUAACUAUGUCCUGCAGACUCGCAACUGGUUGGAGAAGGAAUUAAGUUAUAUUGCACAAUGCCUUUGCUUAUAUUUGAAGGUAAGUUGGGGCAUUUUGUCAGGUAGCUGCGAGUUCUUCCUCCAUCUAAAGUUAAUUGUGCAGAAUACUGGAGAAUUUGGGAAAAUGCUCUAGAUGUAUAUUGGUGAAUAAAGUAUUAAUUUGAGCAGAUGUUAAUACAGCUGCUUCACAAAGGCCCUUCGUGCAGUCAAGCCUCUGUACAAAUACAUAACUACAGCGGUGACUUGCUGAGCUGAUCUAAUUUUUUUAAAUUUUAUUUUGCUAUCCCUGUUAUCUUGGUAUGGAAUGUUUAAUGAGCACCAUUUUCUAAUGUAAGCGUGGCAUUUUUAUCCAACGAUCUUUUGUACAAAGCAAAACAAAAAAAAGUAAGAUUAUCAAGUCAUAAAUCAGUGCACUCAACGUAAAUUGCCUUUAGUUGCUUGUAAGCCUUUCACUAAAGAAAUAAAAACUGGUAAAAAUGAUUUGCGCAAAGGACUAGUUGAUCAGUUUUCUAAUGUCUCUCCUCAGCAUCAGUUUAGUUAAUGAUAUAGCUAACUGCAAAAAUACCUUUUUAAAAAGUGAUGUAACUUGUUAGAAAUGUCUCAAUAAUUUCAGUGAAAGGUCAGCACAAUUCACAAAGCUGUUUGGAAGUCUGAUCCGGUUCUUCUGUUUUGCAAAAUAACUAAUGAUUUGUACUGUUUUCUUACUUCCUUCGAUGGUGCUGAGAGAGAAAGGAAAGCACGUUAUGUUGCUAUGCUGGAGGGCAACAGGCCACGUCACCUGGUCCAUGGGCCUGCUCUGAAUGAGACACCUUCUCCUUCAUCUCUCCACAAGGUGCAACCUGAAGGGAGACGAUGCAUAUUGCAAGAGCGUGAAGACUGAAUUAAGGUUUCUGUCCCAUAAAGACAUCACUUGCAGUGACUUUAAGUAACUGGAAUAUCACUGUUUGCUUGGGAUUUUUCAAUUAAAUGGUGGCCUUAAAACCUUCACUACUAAAUCUCAUGGCAGGGACCAGUAUCUUUUGAUUUUACUCUUAAGUGAAAGGUGGGGACCACUUUGUAAAUUGCCUCCACCUACGAGUGAUGAUUCAUUAUCUUAGCUUCGACACAAGUUACUGACAUCAGAGUUCUUCAAUGUUGAAUGAAAGUGAAGAUGGUUUCACACAAUUAUUUUUCAAUACAUUUAUACCUGAAAGUAUAUUUGUAUUGCAGUUUAUUGAAAUAUUGUAAAUGAUAUGCUAGAUUUUGCCAAUUAUUAAUCCUUGGUAAUCAUUAAAUAUUUUAAGAAACCCAUAAAACACUAAAGUGACAAUGGACUAGACUACUCUUUACAGGUUUUGAAACCACUAAUGGGUGCAUUUUAUCAUGUUGUAACAUGUAAAUAUAAUACUUUGCAACAUUUAAAGUAUGCUUUCAUUAAAUCACUUCCAUUAAAAUAAUUUGUUAUUAAUUGUUUCCUUUGGAGAUUCUGUUUUAACUGAAUGAAGAUCGAAUUUAGCUCCUGGUUG